rnacentral:rRNA from 1 species
ACAAGCGGUGGAGUAUGUGGUUUAAGUUCGAUGCAACGCGAAGAACCUUACCUGGUCUUGACAUCCCGGAGACCCUUAGGAAACUAGGGGGUGCUUCCAUCUGGAAGAAUCUGGAGACAGGUGCUGCAUGGCUGUCGUCAGCUCGUGUCGUGAGAUGUUGGGUUAAGUCCCGCAACGAGCGCAACCCUUGCCUUUAGUUGCCAGCAGUUCGGCUGGGCACUCUAAAGGGACUGCCGGUGUUAAACCGGAGGAAGGUGGGGAUGACGUCAAGUCCUCAUGGCCUUUAUGACCAGGGCUACACACGUACUACAAUGGCCGAUACAAAGGGCAGCGACACUGCGAGGUGAAGCCAAUCCCGUAAAAUCGGUCUCAGUCCGGAUUGGAGUCUGCAACUCGACUCCAUGAAGUUGGAAUCGCUAGUAAUCGUGGAUCAGCAUGCCACGGUGAAUACGUUCCCGGGCCUU